AUGCCGAGGGAACUGCAUUCAAACAAGUCGGCGUGGCCGGAACUGGUGGGGGUGCCUGCCGGUGAAGCCAUUAGAGUUAUCGAGACGGAGCGGCCGGACGUGUUUGCCUUUAUAUGGGCCGAGGGUGAACUGGAGCCGCCAAAUAUCGAAUAUAACCGCGUCCUCGUCUGGUGCUACGCUGGCGACCCGCCAAUCGUCUCCCGGACUCCGGUCAUCGGAUAG
rnacentral:rRNA from 1 species